CCCUUCAUAUCGAACAACGGAAAAAUAUGGAAAAAUCUGGAUUUGCAAUCACAACCAUACGCCGUUCACCAGGAUUCGCAAUCGCUCCUUUUUCAAGCUCCUCCAUAGCCUUAAGCUCCGCCUGAAACCUCGGCUCCAUUUACUUCACAAACUCAUCGGUAACCCGACCCGGCUCACAUCCAGAUACAGACCAAUCUCCUUGUGCUGAUAUAGCCAGUCCACGUAACACCGCCAUAGAGCAUGUAGAUCCGACUGGUGGUUUGUGGAUUGAACGACGGAGAGAUCCAUUCCGGUUGGAAUUUCAAGGGCAACGGAGCGAGUUGGAGGGAGUUUGGGUCGGGUUUGGUAUAUAGGAAGAUUUUGUGAACGAC
rnacentral:lncRNA from 1 species